rnacentral:tRNA from 1 species
GCCCCCCUAGCUCAGGGGAUAGAGCAACGGCCUCCGGAGCCGUGUGCGCAGGUUCGAAUCCUGCGGGGGGCA